UACGGAAGGCAGCAGUGGGGAAUAUUGCACAAUGGGCGCAAGCCUGAUGCAGCCAUGCCGCGUGUAUGAAGAAGGGCCUUCGGGUUGUAAAGUACUUUCAGUCGUGAGGAAGGUGUUAAGGUUAAUAACCUUAGCAAUUGACGUUAGCGACAGAAGAAGCACCGGCUAACUCCGUGCCAGCAGCCGCGGUAAUACGGAGGGUGCGAGCGUUAAUCGGAAUUACUGGGUCGUAAAGGGCACGCAGGCGGUUAAUUAAGUUGGAUGUGAAAUCCCCGGGCUUAACCUGGGAAUGGCAUUCAAGACUGGUUAGCUAGAGUCUUGUAGAGGGGGUAGAAUUCCAUGUGUAGCGGUGAAAUGCGUAGAGAUGUGGAGGAAUACCGGUGGCGAAGGCGGCCCCUGGGCAAAGGCUGACGCUCGAUGUGCGAAAGCGUGGGGAGCAAACGAGGAUUAGAUACC
rnacentral:rRNA from 1 species